rnacentral:lncRNA from 1 species
CCGGCAACUAUCAAGAUGAAGAGCAGAACACAAACUUUGACCAUUGAUCAUUUGUAUUUUUUCUAUGCAUUGACUUUGUGUGCGAUUAUGUCCCCAUACUCCUUUAUUAUCUGUUAAAGGUUCUCAACACGACUUAAUACAAGUUUAACAUUUCAAUGUAAAAGGUCAUAUAUGGCAAUGCCUUGUUUUUUUCUUCAAAUUAUUUGAUACCGGGAAAUAUGUGACCUUACUUUAAUUCAAACCAUGUCAGCUAUCUAGUUUUAUUUACAAUAAAACAAACUGUUUUGUAUUCUUUGAUAUAAACUCUGAAAACUAAAAUGAAACUAGAAACAUGAAUAACGAAAAACAUCCAGGGGAUACACCAGAGAGUGAAGAGAACGUCUUGCUUCUUGCAAGACACUUUCCGUGAAUUUGAUAUGAAAACAACCUUUU